AUAGCGUAUAUUAAAGUUGUUGCAGUUAAAAAGCUCGUAGUUGAACUUCAGACUUGGUCGGGCGGUCCGCUUAACGGCGUGUACUGUCUGACUGGGCCUUACCUCUUGGUGAGCCGGCGUGCCCUUUAUUGGGUGCGUCGGGGAACCAGGACUUUUACCUUGAGAAAAUUAGAGUGUUCAAAGCAGGCCUACGCCCGAAUACAUUAGCAUGGAAUAAUAGAAUAGGACGUGCGGUUCUAUUUUGUUGGUUUCUAGAGUCGCCGUAAUGAUUAAUAGGGAUAGUUGGGGGCAUUUGUAUUGCGUUGCUAGAGGUGAAAUUCUUGGAUUUACGCAAGACAAACUACUG
rnacentral:rRNA from 1 species